ACGUUAAUAUAUUAGAAAAAUUACUCUUUACCCGAAAUUUGAAUCUAACUGGGCACCCUGCAUUUUCAUUUGCUAACCCUAGUUUUGUUUGGCAACCCUAGUUUGGAUAGGCUCUGGAUGUUUCUCAAGCACGAUGUAGGGAGAGGAGAGGAGAUGGGGUCCCUAUAUCUCUCAGAAGGCCCUAUAUCUCUCAGAAUGAGUAACAAAAUUCUGAGUCAAUGUGCAUGGUCAGUGAAGAAAUUUAUCAUUGCUCAUAGCAAGGAGUCCAGGGCCAGGCAGGCUCCCGCCUCAGGCUCUGGAGCUCCAGCUCCACCCACCCUGAGGCUCUCUCAGCUCUGCCCUGGGAUGCCCAUCCCCAGGGUGCAGCAACCAGCUGUGGGUGUGAUGGCCCAGCCUCCCUGCAAGGAGCCCUGUCUCUGUGGUCCUCCUGCAGGCUGUGCAGAGAGGAGCGGGUGGGGUACCUGAACAACUUGGGAUCUCCACCUCUGAAGGAGGGAGGAGGUUGAGAUGAUGCAUGCCCUUCCCCUCGGAGUGGGCUUUGGUAGGGGUGGUGAGCUCUAAGAUCGCCCUCUACUCCAUGGAAGCUUCCAGGACGAACCAGUGCCUGCAGACAUGUGUCUUCCUUUCCUAGUCAAUGUUUCCCUGAGCAUCCCUGGGCUGCCACUUUCAGAUUCCAUGCACUGAAGGACCCUCCACAAAUGUCUCCCUGCUUCGGGUGCUCACCCCUGCCACCCUACCGGGAUUGACCCGUGUUCCCCUGUCUCCAUCAUCCGCUGGGGGCACUUCUUCUCCACAGGGCCUGGUAAUGGAAUUGAAGAAAUCUGAAUGAAUUGUCUGAUGCAUCAUGACUAAGCUUAGAAUGUGCCAAGUGUCUCCCAGGAGUGGCCCUUGGACAGCAGGGCUGGAGUGCUGGGACUCUGUGAGCAGGAAGGAGGCCGUGCUCAGGGAGAGCCACCGACUGAGCCGCUCAGGAGUUCUGGAAGUGCUUGGAGGGUGUGGGCAGUUGUCAAAUGAAUUUGUGGCACCAGCCCCUUGGCUUUCUGGUGAAGGGGUAGUGGCACAGUCUGUCGUCGUGCCUCUGGUGGUAGAUGGGCAACUCAGUCCACACAACCUCCUUCAUAAAGCCUUGGAUACUCCCAAGCUUUACGGAUCUCAUUUUGACUUCCCAGGAAGCUCCAUAUAUUGGUCUUUGUGAAUUUUAUGGAGCAUUGCAGGAUAAUUUUCAUUUUUUUUCCAUGAACACUCCAUUUCAAGUAUGUUCAGGAAGGCUUUCAUCAUCUCUUUUGGGCCUCCACUUCCCUCCCACCUCCUUCCUACAUCUGUUCCUCUCUAGGGUGAAUAGUUUCAAUUUUAUCAACGUUUCUUCCUGUGGCUGUAUGUGUAGGUCCUUUUCCCAUGCUGAUCACCAAAUAUAAGAUUUAUUUAUAUCCUACCCAACAUGUACUCUUUAAAAUUCAGGUGCCCGUAAGAAUGAUAGUAGCUAAGAGCUUUUAUUGAGCUCAAACGCUGUCCACAUGCUUCAUGUUCAUUUUCCCUUUUAAUGUCACAAUGACCUUUUGAAAUCGAUAUUAUUGUUACCUCCCACUUUGUCAAUGAGGACACUGAGAUUCAGGAAGGUUAAGUACCUCUCUUGCUCAAAGGUACACAGCAAAUGAGGAGGAGAGCUGGGAUGAGACCUAGGAAUCUAGGCUCCGAGCCCCUCCACCCUGCUACUCAAAGUACGGCCCAGAGACCAGUGGCUCAGGCAGCCACCGGGGCCUUGUGAGAACUGCUGACUCUCAGGCCCACAUCCAGACGUCCCGGAUCAGGAGGCCAGUUGGUUCACGUACAUGCUCAAGUUGGAGCAGCUCUGGUCUAGUCUCCCUGGAAGGACAUGCACCCCUUUACUUUCACUGAUGCUGCCUUGGAGCAUGUUAGAUUCCGGUGUCACAGCCCCUUCUCUCCACCCUGAGUUGGUGCUGUCCUCAGGCUCAUCUCUGUCCUGCACUGGCCCUUCCUGCAGAAGGCACAUUUGUCAGAAUGAUAGUAUGAUGGUUAAUUUUAUGAGUCAACUUGGCAAGGCCAUGGUACUUAGACAUUUGGUAAGCAUUACUCUAGAUAUUUCUAUGAUGGUAUUUUUUAGAUGAGAUUAACAUUUAAAUCAGUGGACUGAGUAAAACAGAUUACUGUCGUUAAUGUGGGUGGGUCUCCCUCAAUCAGUUGAAGGCCUUAAUAGAAAAAAAUCAAAACAAAACUGACCUUCCCCUUAAUAGAAAAAGACUGAAGAAGAAGCAUUUCUGCUGGAAAACUGCAUUUGGACUUGAACUGCAACUCUUCCCUGGAUCUCCAACCUGCCAGCCUAUCACAUUCAUCACCUCCCAUUGGCUGAAACCAUCUGGAAGCCAGACACCAAGGAAACCUUGUUGAUGCAUUUCAUUGAGUUUGGCCUCCCUGGACACAGAGCAGAGCAGAAAAAGGUGGAGGGAGGCUCUGGAGGGGCAACUGGAGAGUAGCCAGCACUUCAUACUGAUGCCUCAACUCCACCUGCUCCAGAAGACAGAGCGUCUGUACUCUUCAGGAGUUUGUAAGUCCAGAUAGAGGGCCAGGAGUGAACAGGUAACCAAUAGUUCAAGACUGAAACCCCUGUGAGGAGCAGAGAGGAUUGGUCCCCAGGCUGGAUGUGCAUCCGCCCCAGGGAAUGGGACUCUUAGGGAGUUGUUCUCCUAGGUAGGGCUUGUCGCUCUCUGUACCUGUGGAGAGAAUAGGAUUCUCUCAAUGCCAUUAAACUGAACAAGCAUUUAUUGAGUGUGUACUGUUUGGAAGGUGUUGGGUCUCUAAAGAUGCAUAGGCGUAACCUACCUCUGCCUCUGAGAGAUUCGGAGAGGCAUAUAGGUGACCAGAAAACAUCAUUUUUCUGCAUGAAGUUUGGGGGAGGCACAUGUGCUUCUUGGUUUACCAGUUGACAAGGUGAAAUUUCCACGGUGGGUGUUGAGUGUGUGCAUGGACUUGGGCAUGGCUUCUAAGAUAAAGGAGUUUUAAACCUCUGUCUUCUGCCCUGCCAUCUCCGCCACUUUCUAGUUAUAAGAGGAAUGGCAAACUGUGGCCAUUAUGUGAGCCAUCAGGGUCUGGGGACUUGCCGGGGUAGACAUUUUCCUGUUGGCUCUGAAUGAAGACAUCAUCCAGUGGCUACUCUGAGAGUAUGCGGAGUGGGCAUGGGUGAUGGUAGAGACUCCCAAGUGUCUCAGGGACAGGCAUUAUAGGAUGAUGGCUCUUUCCUUAUUGGGGUUGGGGGGCGGGUCUGUGAGCGAACACUAAAGACUAGAGCUUCCAAAUCCUACAACUCUGCCUUGAUGGUAUAAUAGUGAAAAUAGCUAAAAUAUAUUGCCAGGCACUGUGUUAACUGCUCUGCAAGCAUUCUCUCGAUAUAUUCUUACAAUGAUCUUAAGAAGUAGGUACUAGGAGCAAACGGAAGCUAUGAAGGAUUAAGGGACUUACCCAGGGUCACACAGUUGGUACAUGGCAGAGCCCGAAUUCCACUCAUCCCUGUGUGCCUGUGGAAUGUUACCUGGGUGUGGAGGUGCUGAGAACGGUGUUGGACUUCGGAAAACAGUUUGGCUCUUGAACCAUUUUCUGCAUUGUUCUCUGCUUAGGAGGGUUGGAACCUCUUGUUCUGAGCAUGCGAAGGACUCACUGACCUUUCCUGAUGCUCCGCUGGGCCCAGGUUCUCCUCUGAAUGACAGAGGUUCUAGGGACCAAGAACACAAUACAAAGCUUCACCUCCCAGGCCUCCCUCCCCACCUGACUGGCCAGCUCUCCUUCCUGUCUUCCCAUAAGGCCAGAGAAGGCAUCAGACGGCAAGCAGUAUUGAAGUGAGACGUGACGGGAGAGAAGGCAUUCAUCCUUCAAAGCUCAGACACCCUUCCCUGGAAUGCGCCCCUGUUGUUAGUCUUUGCUCUUGGUUGACCUGCUUUGGUAGGAAGCAGGAUGUGCUCCACUCAGCUCACUGGUUCACAUUCUACUCCACUGGGUGUGGUAUCCACCGGGCUGUUGACCAGGGGUUCAUUUAGUCACUCAUAAUAUGUGAGGACUCCACAGUUCACAAAACCUGUUCAUGUUCAUUUGAUCUUCACAACAGCCUCACAAGGAAGGAACUCACAUCGUUCCUAGUUUAGAAAGGAAGAAACUGAGGCUCAGGUGUCUCUAAGCCAAGAUGAGUCUGGCGGUUUAUUUCACCAGCGCUGGUGGAGCCCCUGUCAGCCCCAUGCCCUGCUGAGCAAGCUGCCUGGACAAACGUGGGGCCUGGGCACAGAGGGCAGACAUUUCCCAGUCUGCUGCUUCUGUCUUCAGGAGUCAAGCCAUUUCCUGAGUACCAACUCUGAACUAGGCAUUCUGGUGGGUGUGAGAACUCAGUUACAUCAUUCUUGACUUCUAAGAGCUUGCAGUUUCCGUGGAGAGAUGAGAAUUUUGGGUGUAAGAGUAACCAAUGCCACUAGGCCAAAUCAAGUUGGCUUGGGAGAAAUAAAACAAUUUAAGAGGCCAGCUGGCCUCAGCUGCAAAUGGUCCUUAGUGGAGGUGGGACCUGUGCUGUUUUCUACAGGAAGAGCAGUUCAUGUUCGGGUAGGGAGGACAUGGAACAGUAUUCUAAGAGGAAGACCGUGCUGAGGGCCUGGAAGGAAGACAGCAGGAAACUGGAGACAGGGAGGCCAGUUUGUUGUAGACCAGGGGAGGAGAGAAAGGCAGCAUGGGUCUUUGUACAGGAGAAAAGAGAGAUGUAUUAAGUUCCAGAGGGAGCUCUUGAGCUGGGUCCUGCUGGGGGAGAAAGAAGACUGGGACAGUGGGUGUCAUUUACCCCCAGGGCCUUGGCCUCAGCUUCAGGCUGUGUUGUCCUGAGAGUACAGCUACCUUUUCCCCAUGUGCUUUAGGAUUACCUCAGACUCCUUUUGCCAUGGGGGAAGGAUACCCAAGGAUCUGGGUCAGGCAGCAUGAACACAUACCCAGGGGCUGCACAAGCAGCCCUCCACUGACCGCUCUCAGCUCACCUCCUACCAUAUCUCCUAUUACUGACCACUUCAUUCACAAAGCCCCUGCCACACUGGCCUUCGCCUAUUCAUCCAGCAUAUUGAUAUC